GUUUUCCCCGGAAAGACACAAAGUGUUGAAAUAACUCAGUAGUUCAGGAAGCAUCUCUGGAGGAC